UUCCGGUUGAUCCUGCCGGACCUGACUGCUAUCGGAUUGAUACUAAGCCAUGCGAGUCAUUGUAGUAAUACAAGGCAGACGGCUCAGUAACGCGUAGUCAACCUACCCUAUGGACGAGGAUAAUCUCGGGAAACUGAGGAUAAUACUCGAUAGAUCAUUAUGCCUGGAACGGUUAAUGGUUAAAACGAUUCGUCGCCAUAGGAUGGGACUGCGGCCUAUCAGCUUGUUGGUGAGGUAAUGGCCCACCAAGGCGAUUACAGGUACGGGCUCUGAGAGGAGAAGCCCGGAGAUGGGUACUGAGACAAGGACCCAGGCCCUAUGGGGCGCAGCAGGCGAGAAAACUUUGCAAUGUGCGAAAGCACGACAAGGUUAGUCCGAGUGAUUUCUGCUAAAGAAAUCUUUUGCAAGUCAUAAAACCACUAGUGAAUAAGGGGUGGGCAAGUUCUGGUGUCAGCCGCCGCGGUAAAACCAGCACCUCAAGUGGUCAGGAUGAUUAUUGGGCCUAAAGCAUCCGUAGCCGGCUCUGUUAGUUUUCGGUUAAAUCUAUGUGCUCAACGCAUGGGCUGCCGAAAAUACUGCAGGGCUAGGGAGUGGGAGAGGUAGACGGUACUCGGUAGGAAGGGGUAAAAUCCUUUGAUCUAUCGAUGACCACCUGUGGCGAAGGCGGUCUACCAGAACACGUUCGACGGUGAGGGAUGAAAGCUGGGGGAGCAAACCGGAUUAGAUACCCGGGUAGUCCCAGCUGUAAACGAUGCAGACUCGAUGAUGCAAUGGCAUAGAGCUAUUGCAGUAUCGCAGGGAAGCCGUUAAGUUUGCCGCCUGGGAAGUACGUACGCAAGUAUGAAACUUAAAGGAAUUGGCGGGGGAGCACCACAAGGGGUGAAGCCUGCGGUUCAAUUGGAGUCAACGCCGG
rnacentral:rRNA from 1 species